UGGGGAAUAUUGCACAAUGGACGGAAGUCUGAUGCAGCAACGCCGCGUGCGGGAUGACGGCCUUCGGGUUGUAAACCGCUUUUUCUCAUGACGAAGUUUUUUGACGGUAGUGGGGGAAGAAGCACCGGCUAACUACGUGCCAGCAGCCGCGGUGAUACGUAGGGUGCGAGCGUUGUCCGGAAUUAUUGGGCGUAAAGAGCUUGUAGGCGGUUUGUCGCGUCGAUAGUGCAAACUCUGUGCUUAACGCUGAGCCUGCUGUUGAUACGGGCAGACUAGAGGAAGGUAGGGGAGAAUGGAAUUCCCGGUGGAGCGGUGGAAUGCGCAGAUAUCGGGAGGAACACCGGUGGCGAAGGCGGUUCUCUGGGCCUUUCCUGACGCUGAGAAGCGAAAGCGUGGGGAGCGAACAGG
rnacentral:rRNA from 1 species